rnacentral:misc_RNA from 1 species
UUAUAGCCCCGAUUGAACGACAUGUUUGAGCUCUUUUUAUUGAUUUUUUGGAGAUGGUAAAGCUACUGCCGAAAAAGCAAUAAAAAAGCGAGUAGUGAAAGCGGGAAUUAGC